AACUCGUCAUUGUAGCAGCCUUAGCAGCUCUACCUCGAGGGCAACGCGCUCGCCGGCGGCCUCGAGUUCCUGGAGGCCCUGGUGAUCCGCGACAUGGGGCAGAUCGGGGUUACCGUCCCGAGAACCCUCUCGGGGCUCACGCGCCUCCAGCAGCUCUACCUCGAGGGCAACGCACUCGCCGGCGGGGUACCCGGGAAGGUGCUGUCCAGGAUGAGCUCCCUCCGCUACCUCUCGCUCGCCGGCAACCGGCUGGAGGGCACGCUGUCGCCGGAGCUCGGGGACGUUCGCGGUCUAGUCCGAGGAGCUCCUCGUCGCUUCUGUGGCUUAAUGACACGGACAUUCUCUCUUUUGCUUCGUUGUUCAUUUGUGAUGUUGUGCACUGCAGUAGAUAGGAAUCCAGGGGAGAAGUGUAGGAACUGGGCAUCGAGGACGUGACGCCGGAGCGGCUGUCCGGGCUCAUCAGCGGCUACGCCGGCCUCGUCGACAAGGUCCCCUCCAUGAAGGCAUUCCACUGGUGGUAUUGUAGAAAGGAGACUAAUGUUGAUUCCUGCUAUUAGUCUCACCAUUGGCUCCCUUCAGUACAGUCUGGAUGCCCAGAGUUGAAAACAGAACACUGUCUAGCUGAAGAGGAUAACUGUGAUUGGAACUGCACAGAUUUGGCACAGCAGAUUGAUAGAAUUUGGAGUCGAGUUGGGUGGGCUUCCAAGGAGAGGAGUAUCCCAUGCAUUAGGAGCCGAGCUGGCUGUGCUUCCAUUGAGAGGAGCACUCCUGAAGAAGAUGAUUUUGUCCUGUGUCAUGCUUCUAGGAAAAGUUCAAGCUCAUACGAGCCAACGACGAUGCUACUGUGUUGGAUGCUCUCUCACUCAGCACCCCCAAGAUCAGACUGCUUCGCAGCUUGACAGUCGAAAAGAAGAACUCUGUUCAGGCCUAAGAAAGUUGAAGUGCGAAGCCUUGAAGACAAUUGUGUGAAGCUCUACUUAUCCAAGAAUGCAUAUUAUAUAUUGUAAUAAUAGACAUAUCUGCUUUGUAACAGAUUGGAAAAACUGUAAUAUACUACCUUCGUGUUAAUUUGAUGAAUUUCACAUGUUC